GAUGAACGCUGGCGGCGUGCCUAAUACAUGCAAGUCGAGCGAACAGACGAGGAGCUUGCUCCUCUGACGUUAGCGGCGGACGGGUGAGUAACACGUGGAUAACCUACCUAUAAGACUGGGAUAACUUCGGGAAACCGGAGCUAAUACCGGAUAAUAUAUUGAACCGCAUGGUUCAAUAGUGAAAGACGGUCUUGCUGUCACUUAUAGAUGGAUCCGCGCCGCAUUAGCUAGUUGGUAAGGUAACGGCUUACCAAGGCGACGAUGCGUAGCCGACCUGAGAGGGUGAUCGGCCACACUGGAACUGAGACACGGUCCAGACUCCUACGGGAGGCAGCAGUAGGGAAUCUUCCGCAAUGGGCGAAAGCUUGACGUAGCAACGCCGCGUGAGUGAUGAAGGUCUUCGGAUCGUAAAACUCUGUUAUUAGGGAAGAACAAAUGUGUAAGUAACUAUGCACGUCUUGACGGUACCUAAUCAGAAAGCCACGGCUAACUACGUG
rnacentral:rRNA from 1 species